CUACGUGCCAGCAGCCGCGGUAAUACGUAUGUCGCAAGCGUUAUCCGGAAUUAUUGGGCAUAAAGGGCAUCUAGGCGGCCCUGUAAGUCUAGGGUGAAAACCUGCGGCUCAACCGCAGGCCUGCCCCGGAAACUACAGGACUAGAGUAUCGGAGAGGUGGACGGAACUGCACGAGUAGAGGUGAAAUUCGUAGAUAUGUGCAGGAAUGCCGAUGAUGAAGAUAGUUCACUGGACGGUAACUGACGCUGAAGUGCGAAAGCUAGGGGAGCAAACAGGAUUAGAUACCCUGGUAGUCCUAGCUGUAAACGAUGAUUACUGGGUGUGGGCAUGAAGAGUGUCCGUGCCGAAGCAAAUGCGAUAAGUAAUCCGCCUGGGGAGUACGGCCGCAAGGCUGAAACUCAAAGGAAUUGACGGGGACCCGCACAAGCGGUGGAGCAUGUGGUUUAAUUCGACGCAACGCGAGGAACCUUACCAGAUCUUGACAUCCUG
rnacentral:rRNA from 1 species